UGGCAUUUUCAAGGAUUGCUAGGAAUGGCUUGAGAAGAGCAGGAGGCACCUUUGGUAGUUACGCAGAGAAAGGUACAGCAUGUGAGGGAGUAUCCAAUCAUAAAUGGUCUUCACCUUUCCUUAAAAAUGUUGCAGCAGGCAACAACCUAUCGUACAUUUCCAGCAUCAGGAAGGCAAAUCAUGCCAGUUUUUGGAGCAGGGGAAUCAGGGGAACCGCACAUUAUCAAUUUCCUAAUGCAGAGAGGAUUCUAGAUGAGUCUGAAAAUGAGAAUGACGAACCAAGUUAUCCGGGUCUAGGAGCAACUAAGCCUGGUGAAAUGCCAAGGGUGGUCGUCCUUGGCACUGGAUGGGCAGCAUGUCGGUUCAUGAAAGGACUUGACACCAAAAGCUAUGAUGUUGUUUGC
rnacentral:misc_RNA from 1 species